GGGAGACGCCACAGCCAAGGUGUUAAUGCAGAUGCUGCAGGCUCCCGAGCUUCACAAAUUACACCUUUCCAGGGAUAGCAGCCUGGAGCCUUUCCAUCAGUCAAUACAACAGUUAACAUGCUUCCCACAGGCACAGCCUCGCAGACAUCCUCAGAACCUAGUAGUGUGGCCAAAACAGACGAACGCCGUUACAGAAUCACCCACCACACACGGACCGAGUGGCGUGGUAACAGGCAGCGACAGCAGGAGCAGCGAAAGGAGGAUGAAUUGUUCAGAGAAGGACCCUGGGAUCAGCCGGGAGAAUAUCGCCGCCCCAAGGAAGAACUAGAGGCGGCGAGAGCUGAGAGACGCUGGUAUGAGGAGAAACAACAGCGACAGCAGGAAAAGCGAAAGGAGGAAUGGACAUGGGAUGACGUGUUGGAUGGCAAAGGUUGUUACACUUGGGAGGAGAUACUGGCCGGAAGAGAUCGCCUCCCAUGGGAACAGGUGGAGGCACUUAGGAGAGCAGAAGCAGCCGGAGAUAAGAGCCGACGAUACGAGGGAACACGGUUGGCAAGGAAGCCCGAAAAGCAGCCCCAGAAAUUUAUUGGGGGGGGGCUCAGGGAGAGAGUGGCAGAGUCAGGAGUCAGACAUGAGCCAACUCUCCCUGUUAAUCGUGAGGAGCAGCGAUCAAAGGACUUCUGGACUUGGGAGGAGAUAUUGGACGGAAAAGGACCCUGGGCACAGCCUGGAGAGUAUCGACGCCCCAAAGAAGAACUGGAGGCGGCUAAAGCGGAGAGGCGCUGGUAUGAAGAGGCAGCACGGCGACGCGGAUGGAAGCCUGAGAGUCGGCCCCAAAAAUGUAUUGGGGGGGGGGCUUACAGGGAGUAUGGCGAUGCCAGGUAGGAGACCUGCGCAAACUCCCUGUGCUUACCGGGGGGCUAAAGAGACCGGGCAGGCACCGUGUUAUGCUAGUGAGCGCACGGUGUCUCCAGUACGGGUGCAUAGCCCGGUACGGUACAUACCAGCUCUUCGUAUUGGCCGGGCUAGAGUGGGCAUCGAGCCAGGUAAAGUUGGGCAGGCUCGGUGCUCAAGAGCUCCAGUGCGCCUGCACGGUCCGGUCUAUCCAGAGCCACCUCCACACACCAGUCCUCCGGUGGCAGCUCCCCGCACCAGGCUUCCUGUGCGUGUCCUUGAUCCAGUACCACCAGUUCCAGCACCACGCACCAGGCCUUCAGUGCGUCCCGCCUGUUCAGCGCAGCCAGCGCUUUCCUCCUCUCCUGCGCUGUUGGAGUCUCCCGCCUGUUUAGCGCAGCCAGAGCCUUCCUCCUCUACAGCGCUGCCGGAGCCUCCCGCCUGUUCAGCGCAGCCAGAGCCUGUCUCUUCUCCUGUGCUGCCGGAGCCUCCUGCCUGUUCAGCGCAGCCAGCGCUUUCCUCCUCUCCUGCGCUGUUGGAAUCUCCCGCCUGUUUAGCGCAGCCAGAGCCUUUCUCCUCUCCUGCGCUGCCGGAGCCUCCCGCCUGUUUAGCGC
ensembl:lncRNA